UGGUGCUACUCUACCCACCCUCUUGCCACCUUCUUUGGAAAGCCCAGUGCCAAGAAGACGUGGACUGGCGGCUCCCAGGGACUUAGACACCAAAGAGAAACACGUCAUUGCUCGUGCCGUGCUGGAAGCCGAGGCUUUGCUCUUUGCCUUCGCAUGUAGGGGAGCUGUGGCUGAGGAGGGGUUGCUGCAGUGGAUCCGGCGUCCCUGCUGGCUGGGACAGCCGCGCCAGGCGCCGGUCACAUCAGACAGGAAGCCAAUGCUCAGCCGAAGCACGGCAAUCACUGCGCUACUGCUCGUCCCACCCCUUGCCCUCUGGUAAAACGCAAAGAUGGGGGAAGAAAUAAAGAUAUAAAGGCAACAGUGUGCAUAAACCAAGACGGACUAUGCGGAUCCGCUUCGGUGGAGGAUGCAGAAAGGACGAGUUGCUGCCGCCGCUGUUAAGAGCAGGCGCUGGGCUGAAGUCGGAACAAAAUAAGCACCGUCACCCAUGGUCAUGGCCGUGACCAAAAAGCAACAAACCAAGCGUGGAUGGGGAUGGGAGCGGCUCCUCCUGCGCUCACCAGGGCAGGGCAGGCGUUGGUGGCAUUUUCGCUCACAGUAUCGCUCGGAAGCUGCAGCCUGAGAAAGCAAGAGGUGGCGGGUGCCGAAAAGCCCAGUGGGGACCCUCGGCUGCUGGCGGGGACUGCAAGGACCUUUCCUCCUGGCAGGCAGGUAGGCAGCCAUGUAGCUACUUUCUAGAGAGACCCUUCAGCAGGAGCUGAUUCCCGUGGCCGCGGCCAGCCCACCCUCAGCUCCCCCCAGGCUUGCUUUAUCCCCAGCAGCAGGGAUGCUCCGGGCACUGGGGGAGAGCCAGGGCAGCUCCCUCACGCUGCAGCAAAGGGUCUUACCCGCCAGUUUAGGGCUGGCACAGCGAUGGGAUGAUUCUGGAAACCUCCCUUAAGGGUGAUGGGCAGAGGCGGGAGGGGUGGGGGGAUCUCAAAGAUCUUAAUUUUGAUUCGCGGCGUCGCGCUGUCGCUGAAGUCAAUGAAGCGGAGCCCCGGGCUCCAGCCACAGCAGCCUCCGCGCCCGCAAACCAGGGCUGGGGCUCAGCCCGGCAGCUGGGGCGCGGGUGGGACCCUCCUCCCCCUGCUCCGCCACCGACACCCCAGCCAGGCAUCCCACGGAGACAACCCGGGGGGGGAACACUGCUUUUUCGGGGACUUUCCAGUGCUUUUGGCUCACUGCCCCCGCCUGCCCGCGCAGCCGGUGUUGGCUCGUGCUCCGGUCAGGGUCACGGUGACUGCGGAGGUGUCUUUGACUUUAUUUGUCCCCACUCAGUGGAGAAAGUGUAACACAGAUGCAGCUUGUGUCUUGGCUCUCUGGUUGUAUACCCGUGCAUCUACCGCGGUCCUUCUGCAGCUUACAUUCCAGUUGGGUUGUGUUUUGGUUUUUUGUUUUUGUUGUUUUUUUUUUUUUUUUUUUUAACCCCUUCCUCCCCUUUUUAAUUUCUACCUCCCUCCUGUCCUUAGCGGCACCCCCUUAUAGACACGAUAAAAACGAUCCACCACUUCACUCAUAGCUGUAUUGCCCCAAUGAUCCCAGCUUAGGAAGAGGCUUAAAAAAAAAAUAAAAUAAAAAUCACAAUAGCAAAAAAA